GGGGUCGACUGGUUUUGACAGCGAGUGGAAUUGAGAAGUAAGCACGUCGAGAACUGGAACAAUUCUCGUUAAUAAAUGGUUCUAAACUUUUAAACGGCGAAAAUAAUUACGCUUUAGCUGCUUAAUCUGAAUUAUAGUAAGAUUUGCCUAGUCCCAACCAGGUUGGGAAGCUAGAUUCACCUCGAAAUCCUUGGUUUAUGGAGUUUGAUUUAGGUGAACCGUAAAAGUAAACCUAGAAACGGUAAUGCUUUAAAUCCGUUUUGAAAAUGUAAAGCUAAGCAAAAAGUGGCUGUUUUUGGUCUUGCUUUUUGUCGAAAAUUUAAACAAAAACUAAACGCGUAGAAAGCUCUUCGAUUGCUUGUUUGGACGAGAGUUCGAUUCUCUCCGACUCCACAA
rnacentral:tmRNA from 2 species